rfam:Picea glauca, whole genome shotgun sequence.
ACAUGCCUACAACAUAAUGUUAAUUCACCAGAUCUCAUUAGAACUCCGUAGUUAAGCGCACUCAAGCUAAAGUAGUACUGGGAUGGGUGACUGCCCGGGAAGUCCUAGUAUUUUACAUGCC